rnacentral:rRNA from 1 species
GACGAACCGUGCGAACGUUGUUCGGAAUCACUGGGCUUAAAGGGCGCGUAGGCGGGGUGGCAAGUCUGUGGUGAAAUCCUCCGGCUCAACCGGAGAACUGCCGUGGAUACUGCCAUUCUCGAGGGGUGUAGGGGCAUGUGGAACUCAGGGUGGAGCGGUGAAAUGCGUAGAUAUCCUGAGGAACGCCGGUGGCGAAGGCGACGUGCUGGACACCUACUGACGCUGAGGCGCGAAAGCCAGGGGAGCGAACGGG